UAAUACGUAGGGUGCGAGCGUUAAUCGGAAUUACUGGGCGUAAAGCGUGCGCAGGCGGUUUUGUAAGACAGAGGUGAAAUCCCCGGGCUCAACCUGGGAACUGCCUUUGUGACUGCAAGGCUGGAGUGCGGCAGAGGGGGAUGGAAUUCCGCGUGUAGCAGUGAAAUGCGUAGAUAUGCGGAGGAACACCGAUGGCGAAGGCAAUCCCCUGGGCCUGCACUGACGCUCAUGCACGAAAGCGUGGGGAGCAAACAGGAUUAGAUACCCUGGUAGUCCACGCCCUAAACGAUGUCAACUGGUUGUUGGGUCUUAAUUGACUCAGUAACGAAGCUAACGCGUGAAGUUGACCGCCUGGGGAGUACGGCCGCAAGGUUGAAACUCAAAUGAAUUGACGG
rnacentral:rRNA from 1 species